AGUAACGCGUGAGUAACCUGCCUUUCAGAGGGGGAUAACGUUCUGAAAAGAACGCUAAUACCGUAUGAGACUACAGAGCUGCAUGGCUCAGUGGUCAAAGGAGCAAUCCGCUGAAAGAUGGACUCGCGUCCGAUUAGAUAGUAGGCGGGGUAACGGCCCACCUAGUCGACGAUCGGUAGCCGGACUGAGAGGUUGAACGGCCACAUUGGGACUGAGACACGGCCCAGACUCCUACGGGAGGCAGCAUG
rnacentral:rRNA from 1 species